rnacentral:lncRNA from 1 species
AAGGGAUUCCUGACGAGAUUUCCCGACUUCUUGAGCAAGAAAAGAAGAUCACACUCAGCUGCAUCUCGAGAAUCAGCAGAACAGCCAACUGGGGCAUUAUCAAAAAAAAGAAAAAGAAAAAGAAAGAGAGGGUGCAAAAUUAAAAGAAAUCAAAAGAAAUCAAAAGCAAAAUCAAAAGAAAAAAACAAAAGAAGAUAGCACCCUCAAAGUCCCAAGUUGACUGAUGCUGAAUUCAAGCAAAAACAAGAGAUCAACUGCCAUGUGUCAUGGUCAGUCAUAUCAGCAGAGAGUGAAAAAGCAUUCGACAAGAAGAUCAAGCCUCGUGUGUUUCGAGGGACAUUAUGCUCAAGAAAGUCUUGUCUUUCGUACCCGAUUCCAGGGGCAAGUGAACUCUACAAGCUAUGAACGUCCGUACGUUGUCAAGAGAGCCUUUUCAGGCGAUUUUC